UACACAGUUAAAACUGCUAAACAUAAAUUACUACCAACCCCCCCAACAAAAAAACUCUGAUAAGCAAACCCCCAAUAACCACUGACAACUAAAAUGAACGAAAAUUUAUUUACCUUAUUCGCAACUCCUAUAAUUCUAAACCAACCUGCUACAAUCCCCAUCAUUAUAUUCCCCGUAUUACUAAUCCCAACCUCCAAACAUCUCAUUAACAACCGACUAAUCACCAUUCAACGUAACCUAGUACUACUCACUCUAAAGCAAAUAAUAAUAACCCACAAUGCUAAAGGGCGAACCUGAUCUUUAAUACUAAUAUCCCUAAUUAUCUUUAUUACCACAACUAACCUUCUGGGACUCCUACCCCACUCAUUUACACCUACCACCCAACUAUCUAUAAACCUAGCUAUAGCAAUCCCCUUAUGAGCCGGCACAGUGAUUACAGGCCUUCGCUUUAAAACCAAAAACUCCCUAGCUCACCUCCUACCACAAGGCACACCAACAUUACUUAUCCCCAUACUAGUAAUAAUCGAAACCAUUAGCCUGAUCAUUCAACCAGUAGCCCUGGCUGUACGCUUAACUGCUAACAUUACGGCCGGUCACCUGCUAACACACCUAAUUGGAAACGCCACACUAACACUACUAACUAUCAGCCCCCCCGCUGCUUCGCUGAUCUUCAUACUCCUAAUACUACUUACCAUCCUAGAGGUCGCAGUUGCUUUAAUCCAGGCCUAUGUUUUCACACUUCUAAUCAGCCUCUAUUUGCACAACAACACCUAAUGACUCACCAAUCCCAUGCUUAUCACAUAGUCAAACCCAGUCCCUGACCACUAGCAGGAGCUCUAUCAACCCUCCUAAUAACAUCCGGCUUAGCCAUGUGGUUUCACUUCUAUUCUACCACUCUAUUGACACUAGGCCUACUAACCACAACACUAACCCUCCACCAAUGAUGACGUGACAUCGUACGAGAAAGCACCUAUCAAGGACAUCACACGACACCCGUUCA